rnacentral:rRNA from 1 species
UGGGGAAUAUUGGACAAUGGGCGAAAGCCUGAUCCAGCCAUGCCGCGUGGAUGAUGAAGGCCUUAGGGUUGUAAAGUCCUUUCGGCGGGGAAGAUAAUGACGGUACCCGCAGAAGAAGCCACGGCUAACUACGUGCCAGCAGCCGCGGUAAUACGUAGGUGGCAAGCGUUGUCCGGAUUUAUUGGGUUUAAAGGGUGCGUAGGUGGCCCUGUAAGUCAGUGGUGAAAUAUCUCAGCUUAACUGAGAGGGUGCCAUUGAUACUGCAGGGCUUGAGUACAGAUGAGGUAGGCGGAAUUGACGGUGUAGCGGUGAAAUGCAUAGAUAUCGUCAAGAACACCGAUAGCGAAGGCAGCUUACCAAGCUGUAACUGACACUGAGGCACGAAAGUGUGGGGAUCAAACAGGAUUAGAUACCCACGUAGUCCCUGAGCGGGCUGGCAAGGCGCAU